UAUACAUAUAUAUAUAUAUAUACUUCAAGAAACUCGAAGAUUGACGAAGAUAAAAAAAAAAAAAAAGAAAGCGAAACGCAAGAAUGGAACGAGGCGAACCCAUUUUGUAGAGAAGAGAAACCAGUUUUCCAGACGCACGUUUGUUCUAAUGCAGAAUAGAAGGUAAAAA